rnacentral:rRNA from 1 species
AGUGAACGCUGGCGGUAGGCCUAACACAUGCAAGUCGAACGGCAGCACAGUAAGAGCUUGCUCUUACGGGUGGCGAGUGGCGGACGGGUGAGGAAUACAUCGGAAUCUACUUUUUCGUGGGGGAUAACGUAGGGAAACUUACGCUAAUACCGCAUACGACCUACGGGUGAAAGCAGGGGAUCUUCGGACCUUGCGCGAUUGAAUGAGCCGAUGUCGGAUUAGCUAGUUGGCGGGGUAAAGGCCCACCAAGGCGACGAUCCGUAGCUGGUCUGAGAGGAUGAUCAGCCACACUGGAAGUGAGACACGGUCCAGACUCCUACGGGAGGCAGCAGUGGGGAAUAUUAGACGAUGGGCGCAGGCCUGAUCCUGCCAUACCGCGUGGGUGAAGAAGGCCUUCGGGUUGUAAAGCCCUUUUGUUGGGAAAGAAAAGCAGCAGGUUAAUACCCCGCUGUUCUGACGGUACCCAAAGAAUAAGCACCGGCUAACUUCGUG